UACGUAGGGGGCGAGCGUUGUCCGGAUUCAUUGGGCGUAAAGAGCUCGUAGGCGGCUUGGUUAGUUGGGUGUGAACCUCCAGGCUUAACCUGGAGACGCCACUCAAUACUGCCAUGGCUAGAGUCCGGUAGGGGACCACGGAAUUCCUGGUGUAGCGGUGGAAAUGCGCAGAUAUCAGGAGGAACACCGGUGGCGAAGGCGGGUGGUCUGGGCCGGCACUGACGCUGAGGAGCGAAAGCGUGGGGAGCGAACAGG
rnacentral:rRNA from 1 species